GCGGAAGUGGCGGAACGGCAGACGCGCUAGAUUCAGGUUCUAGUGAGGGUUUCCUUGUGUGGGUUCAAAUCCCAUCUUCCGCA
rnacentral:tRNA from 1 species